CGUAAAACCAUACUGUAUUGUGAACUUAUCAAGGCAUGCAAGUUAUGCAUAAACACAUUCAAACAAAACAAUGGAAGUGGCUACAAUUAAUAACAGCAAGUUCCAGCCAAUAUUAUAAUGUUGCAAUAAAAUACGGUAGGAUUUCAACGAGGUCGAUCAAGCACUUCAGCGGCUUAGCGGCCUAGCGGCGUGAAGUUAGCGGUCUGGCGGCCUGGCGGCCUUGCGGCCUAAAAUGGUAUCCCAUUUCAAAAUGCAUUUCCGUUGAGAUAUUUGCCUUGGUAUCAGAAAUUGAUCAACAGAAGGGAUCUGUGAGAAAUUUAUGCGAAUAAAAAGGCCCUAGAACAAAGACUAGUUGAGCAGAGACUGCAAUUGUUCAUUUGAGACGGGAAUGUGCAGUUAUAAAGGAGAAACCUCAAGAAAAAA